GUCCAUGCCGCCAGCCUUCAGGUGAGUGGAGGCGGGGUGUGACAAUUAGUGUGUUCCCCCAUCCCAUCUCCCCUGCUAUUUUUUCAUUUUCCAUACAUUUUGAACUCCACCCAAAAGUUACUUUUGUUGGUAGCUUAUUUAUGAUGUUGCACUUGUUGAACAAAAAACAGUUGGAUGGUUGAACUGCUCUUACAUCUUCUUAUUGCUAUUCUGAUACUGUUUUUCUCUUGCAGUCUUUGAUUUAUGGCAGAGGGCCUACUCCUGUUGGCAUGGCGAUGAUGCCAAUGCUCUUGCCUGAUGGACGGAUUGGAUAUGUCCUGUAAGCACAAAUUUCAAGUCCUCCAAUUCACAUCCUUUACUGCCCAUGAAUAAAUGCAUCUUUGGUACUUCCUACAUUCUGGACAAUGGGACAUUGCCUGAUGGAUGGAUUGGAUAUAUCCUGUAAGCACAAAUUUCAAGUCCUCCAAUUCACAUCCUUUACGCCCCAUGAAUAAAUGCGUCUUUGGUAGUUCCUACAUUCUGGACAAUGGGACAUUGCCAUAUGCAGAAACAAACUUUGACUAGUAGAAUGUGGACGGUGGAAGAACUGAUUCCCAUGGUUUACAGUCUUUCCCCACCAAUAUUUGAAUCCACAUGUCAUUUAAUCAUAUGCUGAAAAAGCUAUGCAUUUUCUGAUAUUAUUGCCUUUGGAUUUGAAAACCUUGGAUUUCUCAAGUUUGAACCAUCCUAUUGCAAGUAAUAUACUCUGAGUAGAAAGGUUCAAACAUCUUUUGUGGGAUCUAGAGUGCUUUGUAUCUUUCAGCUUCCUUAGCAAGGACUAAUUGACAUUGUUUACCUUUCUGGAAAUUCUAAAAUUUCAUCAAUAGCCACUUUUUGUGCCAAUUUCCAAAUUCUUUGCUCGGGAUAUAUUUCAUAUUCUAUUGUGUUCAGUCAUUGCGGGCAACACAGCCGCACACCCCACCUGCUCAACAGCAGAGAAGCAGUGGCAGGAGUGGUGGAAGCUCAAGUGGUGGGAAGCAGUGGCCGUGGGCGUAGAUAUCGGCCGUAUUGAAUUGGUCCGAUGGAUGGUGUCUGGAAGGGUUCAAAAGUUUUUAUUCUAGAUGUACUGAUGCAUCUUCCACUAAAACUUAGAAUGUGAAAGCGAAAUAUUUGCUGCAGGAAGAAGGUCAAGACGCCAAGUGGUGAUUCAUUAGCAAAAGUGUUUCUUCUUAAUUUUUAGUAAUGUUUCUUAGAUUAUGUUGUUUCUUAGUAGUAUUUGUUUCUUGGCAUAAGACUAUAACCCUAGGCAAUGAUCAAUCUCUCUCUCUUACUUAUUGGUGCUGUGAUUUAGUUCUAUUUUUGCAAUUGGGAGAAACAGAGCCAUUAUAGGAUUCUUCCUUCUACUAUCAAGAGAAAGGCAUCUAUUGGAAGAACGAGCACCGGCUGAUGUGCAAAUCUGAGAUCUGCACCACCGAGAGGGAUCGAUAUGAGAAAGUUGUAUGUCAAUUUGAUUCUCUUUUUCUCUAUGCUUUAAAAACUUUGGUAUUAUCUGCAUGGUAUUUGAGGCUACUUUUCAGGAUGAUCGAGUGUUUUCUCCAAAGGACUAGCCGAUGGGCCUGGCUGAUCUCUUAGGGUUCUCCAAAGGACUAAUCGUGUGUAGAUAUCGCUCUAGAGAACACAUAAAAUGGCAAUGGCAUUAAACCUGGCUGCGAAGUGCCAGUUGUAAUUGUUGUUGUAUAUAAAAAAAAAAAAAAAAAAGUGACGAUUAUCUUUCAUUUUCAUCUGCAAAUUUAAAUACACUUUUAUCUUAACGUAACUAUGACAUUGCAAGAUUUUUCUUUUAUACCGUGAUAUUUUUGUUUUUGUUAUUGUUUUUCUUUUUUUUUUAGUCAUAGGCUUCAACUUUGAGGUCUUCUACAAGAAGAAAGAAAUAGACCAGGAAAAUAUUUCCAAUAUAGUGGUAGUUUCAAUGAUGAAAAUUUCCAAUUUCUUUCAAUUUCAUAAGGAAUAUUAUAAUAUUUAAAUUAUUUGACAUUUUAUCAAGAAAUUUCCAAGAUGAAACUUAUUAUAGGCUAUUUUGCAGAGUCUACGCAUCAUAAAAAUCAGAGCGAAAUUAAUUUGAAAAAGAAUGUUAUAACUUGAAACUACUGAGUGUUCUACUUUUCAGAAAAAAAAAUUAAGGAAAACAGACCCACCUUACCGUGUAAUGUAGCAUAAUAGUAACUACAAAAACAGAAUAUGUGGUCUAGGUUCUAAUGCAGGUUAUACCUGGAAAUACCCUCGAUAAUGCAACAUUUAAUAUAAUGCAAGAAGCACACUAUAACAGUCAUCAAUUGCCUCUACUUGUAUUAAAUUUUAUUUAAACUAUCAAUAGUCAUUAGUUGCCUCUCUCUCUCUCUCUCUCUUUCUCUCUUUCUCUAACAUAAGACCACACAUGCAUCUUUUACUAGUGUGUGUGUAUAUAUAUAUAUAUAUAUAUUACAGAUUUAUCCCCCUUGUUUUCCUGUCCUUAAGAAAUUCACUUACAUAAAAUGCAUAUUGGACAGGAUACUUCACAAGUAGGCCAGCCUUCAAAGGUUAUGUCAGAAUGAUGAGUGGUUACUAUUUGGUGAAAUCUUUAAGCCCCCCUUUCAUAAAGAAAUUUGUGUUGCUGUUGUAGUUAUAAAUGGUUUACUUAUUAACAAAAAAAAAAUGAAAAAAAAGUGGGUAUUUAUAAAUUUCUAAAUAUACAAUUGGGAAGCAUCAAAAUUGGAAUUUUUAAAGGUAGAAAUAGUUUAGGGCUCCACUCAGACACAUUGGCUCAUGCUUUGGCUAUUACCCAACACCAUGAUGCAGUUAGUGGUACACAAAGGUAACGUGUGGCUGAUGAUUAUGCAAAACACUUGGCGAUGGGCUAUCUGGAGGUGCAGUUUUUGAUUGACCAUCACAAAUAUUUUGCUUGCACCGCUUUCUUUUUAGGCUCAAAACUAUAUUACCUUCCACUUCAAUAUUGCUUUGUAGGCUGAGGAGUUUGUUGCAUCUUCACUUGCUUGCUUGGCUGGGUCGAGAUCAAAGCCUAGAUGUGGGAGUAUAGCGACCAAACUUCAACAGGCUAAGUAUUAUAAGCCUUUGUGUUUCUGCGCUGUUUGUACUCAUGGUUGUUAACAUUCUUUUCACUUCAGGUUUAACUUAACUAAUUCCAUUAUUUCAUUUCUAGAAAGCAGUUGCCUUCAAAAGCUUGGCAAUUCCUUUAAAACCAAAUACUUAAUUCCCCAUCCAUAUUUUUGUGAGGUUUCUUGUCAGGUUCUUAUGCAUGCACUAUUUGAUUUGAAACUUCUGCAACUUGAAUGGUUAAGAAAAAGGAAAAGAAAUUUAGCAAGAUGUCUAGUGCAAGUUUUGUGUGAUUCUGAUUUGUGAAAGAGAAGGAAAGGCAAGCCAUGGAUGGUUCUCAAUAAUAAAAACUACUGAAUGAUGCUAUUUUGGAGAACUCAAUAUGUUUAAACAUAAAGGAAUAAAAAUACAUUUUGAGUUGUGACCUAUGGAAAAUUUGAAGUUAAGAUGCUCUUUCAGAUAAAGAGGAACUUAUUUGAAAACUUGAAUAUGAAUACCAGGCCAAAAAUGGCAAGCCAAAGGCUCCCAUUACAAUUUGAAACUGAAAGCACUAUAAUUACAAUUAUUGCUACUCAAAUCAGAACCUUCAAGAGUAAGAAAACACAGAACACCAUUUCGGCCACACUAUUCCCCCUUUGCUUACUCAGAAGAUCAACAAGGUCGUAUGUAGGCCUUGUUUCCAUUGGAAUGAGAAGUUCAGUUCACUUGAGAAGCAAAGCGCUUUUUAUUUACCAUAAUCAUGUCUGCAAACCUCCAGGACUGGUCCUCUAUAGAAUUAACCAAAGCUGUGACCAUGGCUAAGUCACUUUCCAUGGCCGUUUAGGCCUUUCGGGAGAGAAGAAUUCUUCCCUUCUUGACUCCGAGCUUUGGGUUAUGAUGUUUCUGAAACAAUUCGUCCUGGAUAUUGUGCAUUAUCAAAGUUACUCUCUGGAGUUGAAGUUGUUUGGGUUCUGAAUUUUACUUGAGAUUCCAUGGUUUUUGUUUUCUGUACCAAUAAUGCUUGCAUUUGCAGAUCACCAGGGUGUAUAAUGAGAAAAAGCAUGCUGAAUUUGAGUUCACUCUAUGCCUACCCUCUUGGACAUUGAUCCAUUUAUGUAUUAGUAGUCUUCUUAGUAUUGAUUACAUAACCAUUCCCUUUGUCUUUAUUAAUUUUAAUAGCAUGUUCUUGUUUUGUUCAAUAAUGAUACUUAAUUUUUAGGUUGGCCCUAUACCUGUUGAUUGUGGAAUUGGGAAAGAAGUUGUAACUCAAAUUACAACACCCAUGUAGACCAAUAGAACAUUCUAUACAGAUUCUAACGGAUGCGACUUUAUGCAUAUACUUUCCUACUAUGUUUCUAUGUUCAACAUGAUGGUGCAGUGAAAAACACGAACAAUUAAAUUUAAAUAUCAUCGUGUUCUUAGAAAGAUUUCAGAUAUAUUUAUUUUAUCCUGUUGUAAAUGGGUGACAAUCUACCUUUUAGUUUAAGUUGUUUUUGAUAACAUCAAAAGAAGUUUAACACUUGAAAGUUUGUGUGAAUUUAUUUAGGUAGUCGAAUAUAUGCGUGGGUACAUAUUUAAUCUUAAGGAAUGGAAUUUGGUUUGCAAAUAUGAGACUAUAGAUCUGACUUGGAUCUGCAAGUGAGCCAACCCGGUGGUGGAAAUUAUUACCCAAUAUGUUUCCUUCGAACAUAUUGCCAGGGGCUGGACUCACUCACCUUAUUCUUCUUCUUCUUCCAUUUCUCUUCUCUCAUCUUAUUUCAUUUUUUUACAUUGAACUUGGUAUUAUAGCUGGUUUGAUAUGACACUAACAACUUGUCUCUCCACUGUACUUCUUGUUUUUUGAAACCCUCAAAGAGUAGAGGGCUCCAAUAGAUGCUGCACCAUGUAGGAAGAGUUGUUUAAGCUUUUCAGCCAUCAACUAGAAGAUAUAUUGAUGAAUAUUUGACGCUGUGCAGACAGGUUUAGGAGCAAAGAAGGAAAAAUAGGGGUACCACCAGCCUUGUAAUCCCUACCUUUCUCUCUCCUCAUGGAUCAGUUGGAGUUGGAACCAGGCUCAUUGAAGUCACCCAAGGCUCCUCUUUCAAGCUCCCAUGACCUCGGUUGUGAAGGGGGCUUGGGGCAAUCUAGUGCUAUGUGUCGGUCAGUUAUACUAUUUGGGGCUUGUGAGAGGAGAUACUGCACUAUACGAUUGAGGAGAGGUCAUACAAAUCACUGAAGUUCACUUAUGGUCGUGCCAAAUACACUAAGAGGGCCAUAACUAAAUCAACAGUGAUGGAAAUGAGGUUUCUUCAUCUGCAGCUGAAAGAACUUGGAGCCAUCCCAUGGAAAAAUACAGUUACGAUAUGGCCCAAUUGCAUGCCAACGGAUCAAAUUGAUUAGUAGGUUGAGGAAGCUGUAAAUUGAGCUACACUUUUUUCUCAAUUGUUUGCCAUUAAGAUAGAUUCCAUAAUCUCACUAGAAGCAGAGGUGUGUAUAUGUAUGCUUUGUUUGCAGUUCUCCCUCUUUUCUUAACUUCUUAUGUGUUUAUACAUUUAUUGUUUCAUUAUCAAGUCAAUGUAGGCUCCUUUCAUCUCA